rnacentral:rRNA from 1 species
UACGUAGGGUGCAAGCGUUAUUCGGAUUUACUGGGCGUAAAGCGUGCGCAGGCGGCUUUGCAAGUCAGAUGUGAAAUCCCCGGGCUUAACCUGGGAACUGCAUUUGUGACUGCAUGGCUAGAGUGCGGCAGAGGGGGAUGGAAUUCCGCGUGUAGCAGUGAAAUGCGUAGAUAUGCGGAGGAACACCGAUGGCGAAGGCAAUCCCCUGGGCCUGCACUGACGCUCAUGCACGAAAGCGUGGGGAGCAAACAGG